rnacentral:rRNA from 1 species
ACAAACUCCGAAUGCCAAUUAAUUUAACUUGGGAGUCAGAACAUGGGUGAUAAGGUCCGUGUUCGAAAGGGAAACAGCCCAGACCACCAGCUAAGGUCCCAAAAUAUAUGUUAAGUGGAAAAGGAUGUGGCGUUGCCCAGACAACUAGGAUGUUGGCUUAGAAGCAGCCAUCAUUUAAAGAGUGCGUAAUAGCUCACUAGUCGAGUGACACUGCGCCGAAAAUGUACCGGGGCUAAACAUAUUACCGAAGCUGUGGAUUGUCCUUUGGACAAUGGUAGGAGAGCGUUCUAAGGGCGUUGAAGCAUGAUCGUAAGGACAUGUGGAGCGCUUAGAAGUGAGAAUGCCGGUGUGAGUAGCGAAAGACGGGUGAGAAUCCCGUCCACCGAUUGACUAAGGUUUCCAGAGGAAGGCUCGUCCGCUCUGGGUUAGUCGGGUCCUAAGCUGAGGCCGACAGGCGUAGGCGAUGGAUAACAGGUUGAUAUUCCUGUACCACCUAUAAUCGUUUUAAUCGAUGGGGGGACGCAGUAGGAUAGGCGAAGCGUGCGAUUGGAUUGCACGUCUAAGCAGUAAGGCUGAGUAUUAGGCAAAUCCGGUACUCGUUAAGGCUGAGCUGUGAUGGGGAGAAGACAUUGUGUCUUCGAGUCGUUGAUUUCACACUGCCGAGAAAAGCCUCUAGAUAGAAAAUAGGUGCCCGUACCGCAAACCGACACAGGUAGUCAAGAUGAGAAUUCUAAGGUGAGCGAGCGAACUCUCGUUAAGGAACUCGGCAAAAUGACCCCGUAACUUCGGGAGAAGGGGUGCUCUUUAGGGUUAACGCCCAGAAGAGCCGCAGUGAAUAGGCCCAAGCGACUGUUUAUCAAAAACACAGGUCUCUGCUAAACCGUAAGGUGAUGUAUAGGGGCUGACGCCUGCCCGGUGCUGGAAGGUUAAGAGGAGUGGUUAGCUUCUGCGAAGCUACGAAUCGAAGCCCCAGUAAACGGCGGCCGUAACUAUAACGGUCCUAAGGUAGCGAAAUUCCUUGUCGGGUAAGUUCCGACCCGCACGAAAGGCGUAACGAUUUGGGCACUGUCUCAACGAGAGACUCGGUGAAAUCAUAGUACCUGUGAAGAUGCAGGUUACCCGCGACAGGACGGAAAGACCCCGUGGAGCUUUACUGUAGCCUGAUAUUGAAAUUCGGCACAGCUUGUACAGGAUAGGUAGGAGCCUUUGAAACGUGAGCGCUAGCUUACGUGGAGGCGCUGGUGGG